rnacentral:rRNA from 1 species
UUGGAGGGCAAGUCUGGUGCCAGCAGCCGCGGUAAUUCCAGCUCCAACAGCGUAUAUUAAAGUUGUUGCAGUUAAAAAGCUCGUAGUUGAACUUCGGGGUUUACCCAUUGGUCAGGCUUAAUUGUCUGCACUGGUGAGAUGAAUCUCUACCUUCUGAGGAACUUUCAUGCCAUUUAUUUGGUGUGAUGGGAAAUCAGGACUGUUACUUUGAAAAAAUUAGAGUGUUUAAAGCAGGCUAACGUCUGAAUACAUUAGCAUGGAAAAAUGAAAUAGGACGGACUGAUUCUAUUUCGUUGGUUUCUAGGAUCACCGUAAUGAUUAAUAGGGAUAGUUGGGGGCAUUAGUAUUCAAUUGUCAGAGGUGAAAUUCUUGGAUUUAUUGAAGACUAACUACUGCGAAAGCAUUUGCCAAGGAUGUUUUCAUUAAUCAAGAACGAAAGUUAGGGGAUCGAAGACGAUCAGAUACCGUCGUAGUCUUAACCAUAAACUAUGCCGACUAGGGAUCGGACGAAGUUAAUUUUAUAAUGACGCGUUCGGCACCUUACGGGAAACCAAAGUGUUUGGGUUC